ACUUUGUUGAUGUCUCCUUUGCUGUGCAGAAGCUUUUUAGCUUGAUGUAACCUGCCUCAUGUGCUCAUUUUUGCAUCUGUUGCCUGGGCCUUUGAGGUUUCCAAGAUCAAGAAAAUAGAGUCCUGGCAGAGCGAUACUUCAGGUCCUUGACUCCAAUGCAGAGAUCCGCAAAUGUACACUGCUUGGCCUCCCCUGCUUGGGGGCAAGCACCGAAGAGUCCUAUUCUGCCAUCUUCCUAACAUCCAUCUCCCUCAAGAUGAUAUAGUCUGGCUUAUGAAAGUUAUACAUGAAUGUCCAGAAAUUUAAGUAAGGA